rnacentral:rRNA from 1 species
GUUUUCGCCCCCCAAAAAGGGCGUACCUCAAAAGUAGUGGCGGNUCCGGAGCGGCUUACGAACGAANGUAANNUAUCAUCCGUUUAGAAAGUUCGCUCCCGUGUCCGGCNNCAUAUAACCCGAUUUUUNNNUAAUUCAACGGUUGACCUCGGAUCAGGUAGGGAUACCCGCUGAACUUAAGCAUAUCAAUAAGCGGAGGAAAAGAAACCAACAGGGAUUGCCUCAGUAACGGCGAGUGAAGCGGCAACAGCUCAAAUUUGAAAUCUGACCCCUGGGGGUCCGAGUUGUAAUUUGCAGAGGGUGUUUCGGGCACGGUGCCGGUUUAAGUCCUUUGGAACAGGGUGUCAUAGAGGGUGAGAACCCCGUAUGUGACCGGUCGCCAAACCCAUGUGAAACCCCUUCGACGAGUCGAGUUGUUUGGGAAUGCAGCUCAAAAUGGGUGGUAAAUUUCAUCUAAAGCUAAAUAUUGGCCAGAGACCGAUAGCGCACAAGUAGAGUGAUCGAAAGAUGAAAAGCACUUUGGAAAGAGAGUCAAACAGCACGUGAAAUUGUUGAAAGGGAAGCGCUUGCGACCAGACCUGCUCGCGGGUGAUCAGCGGUGCUUUUCGCGCCGUGCACUCAUCCGCGAUCAGGCCAGCAUCGGUUCAGGCGGCCGGACAAAGACUCGGAGAAUGUAGCUCCCUCCGGGGAGUGUUAUAGCUCCUUGUGCAAUACGGCCAGCCGGGACCGAGGACCGCGCU